rnacentral:tRNA from 1 species
GGAGAGAUGGCUCAGCGGUUAAAGAGCACUGACUGCUCUUCCAGAGGUCCUGAGUUCAAUUCCCAGCAACCGCA